GAAGGGAAAAAACUCCGAAAAAACUUUCCCGGCGCGGGGGGGGAGCGGCGGCACCGCCAGCGCCCCCCGCCCGCCCGGCCGGCGCCGCACAAAGGCGGCCCCGGGCGGGGGUCGCGGCCCCGGGGGGGCGGCCCCGGGGGGCGGCCCGUGACGCAGCGGGCAGUGACAGCGGGGGCGGCCGGGCCGGGGGCGGGGGGGCGGGGCGGGGGCCCCCGCCGGACCGUUAGGGCGGGAGCGGCGCCUUUCCCCGCGCAGCGGCGGGGGCCGGUUCCCACGUGGGUGCGGGGCGCCCCGCCGAGCUGCUCCCCCGCCCCCCCUUCCCCGGGCGCCUUUCCCUCGCGGGGAUUUUAUUAUUAAUAAUUUUAAUAUUUUUUUUUCCUGGCGUGGCGGGGCGCCGCGGCCGCCCCCCGCAGGUGUGGCUGGGCCUUGGCGGGGGGGGGUGUGUGGGGUGGGAUUUGCCCGGUUUUAUUUUUUUUUAAAGAAACCCCGGGGGCUGCGCCCCCGCUGCGCUGCCGUCGGGCCUGCGCCCCUCCCCAGCUCCCGCCGCCAGAGCGGGCGCACGGGGGAAAGUAGUUUAAUACCUUUAAAAAAAAUAAAACACUCGUAUAACCAAAAAAUACUUCGAUGAAAUAAUUAAAAUGAUUAAAAAAAAAAAAUUGGCACCCAGCUUUUGCUAUUUUUUUUUUUUUUUCCCCUUGCUGGUUACUCCUUUGUACAGGAAAUUUGAAUAUCCUGGCAAAGGCAGGCUUCCAAGCUGCGCUCCGGCAGCCGCAGGGACGGGGGCAACGCACGCCGCCGGUUUUUUUUUCCUUUUUAAUUGAUCCCAAAGACGAUAUUAUUCCCACAUGCGCAUCAGGAAUCAGGCUUCCAGAUCUGUCCCUUGUUUAAAACUGGAUGAGAUGACAAUGCAAAAAAAUGGAAGUAACAAGAAGCAUCAUACUUUUCUUCUCAGCAGUGUUGAGAAAAAACUGUGGAUCCUGGAAUUUUACUGUGGAUUUUACUGGUUUUCUGGAGUACUCUCCCGUUGAAGCAGCGACUGUCUGGUGUCCGGGGAGAGCCGGCGCAGGAGCCGAUGCGCCUGCGGUCAGAGGUGAGUCAGGAAGAUUUCUCAAAAGUCAAAAUGAGCUGAAUAAAAACAUUUUAAGGAAGACUUAACAGGUUUGAACUAUUGGAAUUGGGAUUUAUUUAUCUGAAAUAUUAACAUUGCAACUCCUGGAAAGUCCUUGAUGUUCAGCAGCCCCUAAGAGGAAAGUACAAGGUAAUGUUUCCCCGCAGACUGUUUGGAAGGGUCAGGAAGGUCUGCGGGCUCCUUACAGUAGCAAAAGCAGCAGAUCUGCUAGAUUUGCAGUUCUGCAAGUGUAGAUUUGCCAGGACCCAAAUACGAAGUAUGUUUUGGGGGUGGGGGAAACAGUUAAUUUCUGAUUUUGUUUCUGAAACUGGUUUGUUUGCACUGUGUAACUGCUUGUUCUCUUAUAGUUACAGACUUUGUGAUAGCACCCGUGAAGAAAAAAAAAAACCAAACAAAAAAGUCCCAUGGUGGUGGUAAUGCAUGCACGUUAAAUGUCUUCAUUGUAGAGUGUUCUUCAGUACCUUAUAUCAUGGUUUAAAAAAAAAAAAAAUAAUUCAAAAUACCAUUUGGAAUGUCAACAUUCAGUGGGCUUUGAGGAGAUGUAGCAGCACAUCAUGGUUUGUAGGGACAAGGAGAUACAGACCAUUCUGGGCUGCCUCAUUACCUCAAGGAUAAGACAAGAAGGUGAGCUUCUGGUUAUCAUAGAUGUGGAAGCUAACGCAUUCCCAUGUGUCCCUUUAGUUCAGGUGAACAGGUACGUGUAGAUAAGUUCUGCCGGUGCUCGUAUCUGCGCACACCCUUUGCAGCUGCUACAGAUGCAUUCCCUAUGGGUCUGUGUGCAUGUCUCGGCGGGGCUGGCCCUGCAGGCAGGGAGGACUUGCGGCUCCUUUUUGUUCUCCAGCAUGGGCAUGGCCGAUGCUGGCUCGAGCACUGUGCCUUCAACUGGUGCCUUACCCCUCACCUCUUGCUCCUCGGUCCUUGCCCCGGCAAAGGAUCGGCCAAGGUACUCUGUCGCCCUGUGUUUGGGGGUGGGGAGAAAGGAGGGGGGCUGGAAGCCGUGGCGAGGCACUAGGAUGGAGAGCUGUCAGCAGUGCUCUAGCAGCACGUAAAUACUGGAGUUUGGGAUUGCCUGUUGCUCUCCAGUAUUGCAUUGCUGCUUUAGUGAGGCUGGAAAUCGGUCCCUGCCGCAGGAGCCGGGGCCCUGGCUCUCAGGGUGCGUCCCCAGCACCCCCUACGGUGCCUUCCACGCUGCUGCUGGGGGGCUCUCGUCUCCCACACUAAUAAACCACUGCGGAGGCAGCAACGAA